UCUUCUCGCCGAAUGUGCCCAACCAAGCUGCGGUAUAGCCCACAUAAAACAUAGCUACAGUACAUACAUACAUACCAGGCGGAAUAUAGAGAAGGCAAGAAUAAUCGAAAUAUGAUAUCUUCCCGGAUAUACGGCUGGAUUCAAUAAACAUAUGGACCAAAGCUAAGAGUUGCAUUCGCGGAUCUUUUGUAACAGUGCCGAUUUUAUGAGAUUCUAGCUAGAUUCUAGCUAGCUAACAGGAGCUAGAAUGAGGAUGCCUGAGACGGGGAGAUAAAGACUUCACCGGAGCAGAGUGUGUGCUUGAGCCAGGGGCUGGGGCCUGACCAGAGACCCCCAGAGGCCCCCAACUGGGGGGGGGGGAGGUCCAUGGGGACCAUGGGGGACCUGGGAGGCUUCACCACCACAGGGGAGAGGGUGAACCCAGCCCACAUCCUGUUUGACCGCUUCGUCCAGGCCUCCACUUGCAAGGUCACACUCAAGGCCUUCCAGGAGCUCUGUGACCAUCUGGAGCUCAAGCCCUGUGAGUACCGGGUCUUCUACCACAAGCUUAAGUCCCGGCUCAACUACUGGAAGGCCAAGGCACUCUGGGCUAAGCUUGACAAGCGGGCCGGCCAGAAGGAGUACAAGAAAGGACGUGCAUGUACCAACUCUAAGUGUUUGAUCAUCGGGGCAGGACCAUGUGGCCUGCGGACGGCCAUCGAGCUGGGCUUCCUGGGCGCCAAGGUGGUGCUGCUGGAGAAGAGGGAUGCCUUCUCCAGGAACAAUGUGCUGCACCUGUGGCCCUUCACCAUCCAGGACCUCCGGGGCCUCGGGGCCAAAAAGUUCUAUGGAAAGUUCUGCGCCGGAGCCAUCGACCAUAUCAGUAUCCGGCAGCUCCAGCUGAUGCUGCUGAAGGUGGCCCUGCUCCUGGGCAUCGAGAUCCACGUCAACGCAGAGUUCAAGGGUCUCAUCGAGCCCCCCGAGGACCAGGAGAACGAGAGGAUAGGAUGGAGGGCUGAGGUCCUCCCCAGGACACACCCAGUCAACGAGUUGGAGUUUGAUGUCAUCAUUGGGGCAGAUGGGAGGAGAAACACGCUGGCAGGGUUCAGGAGGAAGGAGUUCCGGGGCAAGCUGGCCAUCGCCAUUACAGCCAACUUCAUCAACAGGAACACCACAGCCGAGGCCAAGGUGGAGGAGAUCAGCGGAGUGGCCUUCAUCUUCAAUCAGAAGUUCUUCCAGGACCUCCGGGAAGCCACGGGAAUUGACCUGGAAAACAUUGUCUACUACAAGGAUGACACGCACUACUUUGUCAUGACUGCCAAGAAACAGAGCCUGCUGGAGAAGGGAGUCAUUCUGCAUGAUUAUGCGGACACAGAGAUGCUGCUUUCCAGGGCUAACGUGGACCAGGCAGCUCUGCUAUCUUACGCCCGUGAGGCCGCAGACUUCUCCACCAACCACCAGCUGCCCACGCUGGACUUUGCCAUCAACCACUACGGCCAGCCCGACGUGGCCAUGUUCGACUUCACCUGCAUGUACGCCUCUGAGAACGCGGCGCUGGUACGCCAACGCAACGGGCGCCAGCUACUGGUGUCUCUGGUGGGGGACAGUCUACUGGAGCCCUUCUGGCCCAUGGGCACUGGUAUAGCCCGGGGUUUCCUGGCAGCCAUGGACUCCGGCUGGAUGGUGAAGAGCUGGGCCCAGGGAAACACAUCUCUGGACGUGCUGGCUGAGAGGGAGAGCAUAUAUCGCUUGCUGCCUCAGACAACGCCAGAGAACAUCAAUAAGAAUUUCAGUCACUACAGUGUGGACCCCACCACCCGCUACCCUAAUAUUAGUCUCCACUUCCUCAGGCCCAACCAGGUACGACACCUCAUAGACACAGGGGAUUCAAGUAGGGAAAUGCUUAUCGAAAUGGAGAAUGUAGUCAACUCGUCAACACCCAAGCUCACCCGAAAUGAAUCCAUAGCUCGCUCCAGCAAGCUGCUAAACUGGUGUCAGAGGCAGACGGAGGGCUACAGAAAAGUCAGUGUGACUGAUCUCACCAUGUCCUGGAAGAGUGGCAUGGCCCUGUGUGCCCUCAUCCACCGCUACAGACCUGACCUCAUUGACUUUGACUCCCUGGAUGAGCGGGACCAGCAGAAGAACAAUCAGCUGGGCUUUGACGUGGCCGAGAGGGAGUUUGGCAUCUCACCUUGCAUGACGGGCAAGGAGAUGUCCCAGGUGGCGGAGCCUGACAAGCUCUCCAUGGUCAUGUACCUCAGCCAGUUCUACGAGAUGUUCAAGGACACAGUGCCCCCUGGGGCCGGAGGGGACCAGAACAUGAGCCCUGAGGAGAAGGCUGCAUUGAUCAACAGUACAAAGUCCCCCAUCUCCUUCCUCAGCAAGCUGGGCCAGAGCAUCGCUAUCUCACGGAAGCGUAACCCCAAGGACAAAAAGGAGAAGGAGGUGGAUGGUUUGGGGAAGAGGAGGAAGACCAGCCAGGCUGACCACUCUGAAGACGAAGAGGUUUUGAGGGGUAACCGUGACGACAGGCCAUCUAACAGUACUGCUCUGACAGAAAGGAAGAUGAAGGAAGAGUCAGCAGCUCUAGGGAACCACAACAAAGUCAAGUCCAUGGCCACCCAGCUCCUCGCCAAGUUUGAGGAGAACGCCCCCGCUGAAUCCAAGGGCCUCAAAAGACAGAGUUCCCUGAGGAAGGAGUUCCCCCAGAACAUCGGGGGCAGUGACGUGUGCUUCUUCUGUCGGAAGCGUGUGUACGUGAUGGAGCGGCUUAGUGCCGAGGGCAAGUUCUUCCACCGCAGCUGCUUCAAGUGUGACUACUGCGGCACCACACUACGACUUUCGUCCUACGCCUUCGAUGUGGAGGACGGGAAGUUUUACUGCAAGCCCCACUACUGUUACCGCUCGUCUGGUCAGGCUCAGAGGAAGAGGCCGGCACCGAACCCUGCUCUGCUCAAUGCUAAGGACAACCAGGCUUCCUUGCCCGCGGCGGUCACUGUGGACUCCCCUGGGAGGGGGGCGAUGGCAUCCCCUUCCCCCACCGAGCGCCGGUCCUCAGUCCCGGAGGUGAACGGGCUGCAGGAGCCCAGCCUGGCUAAGCGUCUGCGGGGCACGCCGGAGCGCAUCGAGCUGGAGAACUACCGUCUGUCUCUGCAGCGGGAGGAGGACCUAGAGGAGGUGCCAGAGGAGACGCUGGCCGAACACAACCUAAGCAGUGUGUUGGACAAGGACGCGCACGCAGACCUGGGCUCCAGCAGCUCAGAGUCUGACAUGGAGGAGGAGGACCAGGAUGAAGAGGAGCAACAUGAGGAGGAGCAGCAGGAGCCCCCCAGCCCCUCAGACCUGGGAGGAGUACCCUGGAAGGAGGCUGUGGAGCUCCAUGCCAAGCUGAAGACUGACAGCGACCCAGGGGCUGAGGGAGAGGACGGUGAGGGAGAGGACGGUGAGGGAGAGGACGGUGAGGGAGAGGACGGUGAGGGAGAGGACGGUGAGGGAGAGGACGGUGAGGGAGAGGACGGUGAGGGAGAGGAUGAGACACAUGGUCACAUCGCUAGGGAUCGAGAAGUGGAGGAGGAGGAAGAUGACGAAGAAGAGGAGGACGAUGAUGCGGAAUCGACUGAUGAGGGGGAGUACUGCCCGUGGGAGCAGGAGCUCCAGUCAGGCAUAUGGCUGGAGAAUCUCCAAGACGAAGAGGAUACCUGUAGAUUUAAAGCCAGAAACCUGCAGAUCCAGCAGGUGCUGCAACCUGUGGAUCCGACGGGCAUUAAGAAUCUCAGAAGAGUCUCCACACUGUCAGAGGGGGACAAGGAGGAGCCUCCUGCCUCGGCCUCCCAGCCAUCCACCAUGCUCACCCAGUCCCCCUCCACAGCCCCCGCCCACACAUCCACUCGUCAUGAGGCUGUGCGAGUCUGGUUGGAGUCGGUGUCCGGAGAGCCCUGUGAGGAUGAUGACCCGGAAGCAGAAGUGGGCAGCCAUGAUUUUGAGCCAGGCACCGAGAUGGACCAGGAGGACAUUCCCUCUGACGCGGAGGCGGAGGCUCGUCUGCACCAGUCAGAGCUCAGUGAUGCGCUUCCUGAAGAGGACAAGAAGUCGCAGAGUCAGGGGAUCACCUAUAGCAUUGAACAACCUAGUGUCAGUCCGGUGAAGUUAGUUGCGGAAGUUGUGCUCUCGCCAGUCAAACCACCAACUCCACAGCCUGAUUUACAGAUGUCUCACACGUCUCCUUCCUACCUGGUCAAAUCACCCGGAAUGCGCUUUUUCCCAGAUCCCUUGGCAUCGGAGAACGUCACAAUACCCCAGAGGACAGUUCAGACUCCCAAUGCCAAGAGCCCCCAAUACGCUACCCAUGCCCUGUCCCCCAUUCACUCCCCUGUUCAAUCCCCUAUUCGCUCCCAGCCUAUCCCACUGCCUGAGACGGUCACCCAAAAAUCCCCUGUCAACUCUCCACCCUGCUCCUGCCCCCCGACAGGGAACCCGCUGUCUCCCAUCUGUGCCCAGCCGCUGCCCUGCCACGAGCCCUCCUCACCCCUCACCUCGGACUCCCCUGUCAGAACUCAGCCUGUCCCUGCCAUCACCUCCACUCCGCUAGCCAAACCAGCCUCCUCUGACAGGACUACCCCCGAGCCUCAAAAAUCUCUGGACCUCACAGACGAAACCCCGGUGAAGAAGACGGACAUUAUCGAGGAGUUCUGGCUGAAGAGUGCCGAGAUCAGGAAGAGCCUGGGUCUCACCCCACUGGACCGCAGCAGCAAAGCCCCAGAGAAGUGUCAUGUUACUGUGGGUAAGGUGCCCACUCCGGACUCCCCCUCGACCAAGUCCUAUACCCCAGAGGAUCUCUCAGAGGAGCUUAGGCCUUCCCCUUCUCCCUUCACCGGUCGCUCGGUCAUUCGCAGGCUGAACAUUACGGUGGAGGGCCAGGUCAUCUCCCCUGCGGAGCCCAAGAGCAUUGGCUCAGAACGGAGGGACCUCAGCAGCAGCUCCGGCCUAGGCCUCAACGGCAGCAUGGCCACCAACCAGACCAGCCAGGCGGCCAGUGACAGCUACCACACUUCCGACUCCACCAUGCUCACCCCACCAUCCAGCCCCCCGCCGCCCCCGCCCAACGAGGAGCCAGCUACUCUCAAGCAGCAGCAGAAGCACCAGGUGUCCUGGGACAAUGGGAUCGAUGGCCCCACUACACCUGAGCCAGCCAAGAAGCCAACCAAGGUGGCACCCACCAAGACCAACAGCCCUGUGCCUUCACCAAGGACCCAACUCAGCCCUGUGUCUAUGCCAGUAUCUGCACCCAAGCCUGCCCCCAGGACUACACCGGUCACCUCGCCAGUCACCUCGCCGGUCACAGCUCCGGUCACUCCGUUGGUGGUCAUGAGACGGGAGAAGAGCAGCAAACCACGUCGGGAGGAGGUGAGGAAGUCAUUCGUGGAGUGUGUGGCGGAGAUCCCGUUUGCGGACGAUGUGGAGGACACGUACGACGAGCGGACACCGGACACAACCAUGGACAGGUUCUACACUCCGCCCAGCAGCAAGCCCAACAGGGAGAGGGAGAAGCGUCCCCUGCACCUGGCCCUGGCCAUGGAAAACGGAAAGCCCAUUUUUCCUGUGAACCAGCAGGCCUCGAAGAGCCAGAAGGCCCAGCAGUUCUCCCCUGAGGCCAAGGAAAUAGCAGAGGAACGGAUGAGAGCCAGAGAGAAGUCCAUCAAGAGCCAAGCUCUGAAGGAAGCCAUGGCCAAGCAGCUCAACAAGAUGAAAGAGACGGACACUGCCAAGGUCGCCGCCGCCACGGCUAAAGUGGUGUGGAACGUGGCCUCAUCAGAGACUUCCGGGAAAAGUACUAAGAAGUCAUCCGGUUCUCCAAAGACGUAUGCAGUGAAAUCUCUUGAGUCAAAGAAGGCUGAGACUCUAUCAGAGCGUUUCUUUAGCAGUCAGGGUAACAAGAGUCUGGACAGCUCGACCGUCUCCUCCGACGGCUCCGCCUCGGGGGGCAAGAGCAAGAAGCGUGGCUCGCUUUUCUCACCUCGCAAGAACAAGAAGGAGAAGAAAGCCAAGAAUGAAAGCCAGCUCUCGGUCAAGCACGGCACAGACGAGACGCCGUCGCCGCCCAAACACAAGUCCCUGUGGAAGGCUGUGUUCUCGGGGUACAAGAAAGACAAGAAGAAGAAUAAGGACGACAAGUCAUGUCCCAGCACGCCAUCCAGCUCCAACACCAACGACUCAGGGAAGAAGCGAUUGUCGCCUCUCGGCAGGUCGUCAGAUUUGAAGUCGCGCAGAAACCUGAGCUUCUCUGAGGACUCGGAUCUGUCAUGUGAUGAUGUGCUGGAGAGGUCUUCUCAGAAGUCUAGGACAGACUCUGUUUAUGUCCCUCACGCAUUGGCGUUCAAGAGAGCGUACGCCACCAAGAAAACCUACACAGAGGAGGAGCUCAAUGCCAAGCUGACACGUAGGGUACAGAAAGCUGCCCGGCGACAGGCCAAGCAGGAGGAGCUGAAGAGACUGCACAGAGCCCAGACCAUCCAGAGGCAGCUGGAGCAGGUGGAGGAGAAACAGAGACAGCUGGAGGAGAGGGGUGUGGCUGUGGAGAAAGCCCUGCGAGGGGAAGCAGUUGAGCCUUUUGUCGGGACCCCUCGCCGAAGACCUAUCUCCUUCUGCCCCUGCUGUUCCCCUGAAGGUAACGUAAUCUAUUGCCUCCGCUGCAUCCGGUUGCUGCGGGUUACCAUGGCAACCGACCACCAGGAUCCACAGAGCCGGGCUCCUCCCACCUGGUCUCCUGAAACUCCUCCUCCCUCUCCUCCUCCUCACCCUCUGUGUGCCCGGGCUCAGUAGAUUUCCUCAUGUCACCGUUGUGUAUCUGCCAUAGUCGUAUCACACUACAUUCAACAGUACAGUACACACUGUUAUGUAGAUAUUUGGGAACUUGCUGGAACGGUGUAGAACAUAAGGACAGGACAUGUCUAUGCUACUGAUGUACUUUUGGUUUGUUGAGCUAAGGAUACUCAGAAACCUAGUUCACAUUGCCAACAAUAGUACUUUUAAAAGGUUUAUAUAGUGACUGUCAUGAAACAACCAUAUAUACAUUGAUGUUUCUAUAGACCCUCUCCCAGAUGAUCUUGCCCUUGAGUUUAAGUCUCAGGCAGAACAUGGGUCAAAGCCCUCAACCCUAGUAAACAACUAUCGUACACACCUUUUUCCAUCAUUCUAAGUAGCUGCAGCUAAAGCUAAAGGGGAAACCUCCUCUACUUCAGUUUGAAGUGUUUAAUCAACAGCAUGUCCUCUGUUUGCUGUAAAACUAAUGGACAUUUGCACGACUGAAUGGUCUAGUCUCUCUAUAGUGCGUGAAGGCUGUCAGACAGCCUCUGUCCCUCGACUAUAGUGUGUUGCAACUAGACCGUGUGUGACGUGGUUGUGGGAAAGAAAACGAAAUGCCUACGUCUGACACGUCUCAGUUUUGCAUAUUCUACCAACAUACAGAUUAGGAGAUAAGUGGAACUUCUUGAGAAGCCUGCUGAUCAAUGUAGCAAACAACAUGCCUGUGUGUGUUCUGUGCGAUCGGGUUUUCAGGCUGGUGUGUUUUUAUUGCUAAUUCUGUGGUUCUUCUCUCCUGUGUUCUGGGAACCUGGGCUGAGGGUGGUGGUGGACGAGGCGCAAAGAGAGAGGGAGAGAAAAGCAAGCACAUUUUUGGAUAAGUUAGCAAAUCCACCUGUUUCCAUCUCUUCUUUGUCCUGUCUGAGGAACCCUGCUUUGCUUCUCUCUGUCCUUGUCUGUUAAUCAGCGAAAGCCGGCAGCAGCACCCAAGAGCACAGCCAUUCGAUUUUUGUGUGUACUGUGUUUUUCCUUUUCGUUUUGCAAGAGACUCAACCACUCCAGCUAAGUACGUCAUGCUGCAUCAAUGGUUUGCCCCCCCCCCCAGUGUCUCAUUGAAACCGCUUGGCUCCACCUGCGUGCGGCAGAUAGCAUAGCAUGGACUGGCCGCCUUUACAGUGGCACAAGGAAAAAGGUUCUGCGGCCCCUGGCUGCAUUGGCCCUUGACUGCAGUAAUGCAUGCCAAAUGCCAGUAGAGGCUUCCCUCUCAGGCAGACCUAAUAGCAGAGUGUGAUAGCUUCACUAUUGGUCGAAAUGACAGAUCGGUGUCACCAUUUGACCCAGUAGAAGCUGUAGGGAGUAUGAAAUAAUUCAUAACAUGGGUGUUAUGAAACCACUCCGCAUAAAUAGGAUCCGACAAAAUCCUUUAUUUCUGCUGGUGGUUCAUUGUUGCAUGUAGGGAUGUCGAACUUCCAUUGAGAUAGAACACCAGAAUAGUUGUAUCUCUGUGUAAAAAGUCCAUAGGUUCCAUGGGUACAAUGUGGUGGAAUAGCCAGGUUUUCUACUCCCUACCUAUGGCCCUCUCUGUAAGGGACACACACACAUUGGUAGGAGACGUCCACUGCUCUGAACAUACAGUGGUCCGCUGGAGGACAGUUGGUAGAGCAUGGCGUUUCCAACGCCAGUAUAAUGUGUUUGAUUCCCAGGACCACCCGAAUGAUAAAAAUGUAUGCAGGCAUGACUGUAAGUUGCUUUGGAUAAAAGCAUCUGCUAAAUGCCAUUUAUUACUAUUAUUAUUACUAUAUCAUAGUACAGUAGCAGGGGUGUCUGUCUCAGAAGUCCAGAUUGAGUGACACACAAAUUCUCAACUUUGCAACACCCAAAGUUGAAAUAUCCUCCACGCCAUCUUCUGUGAGCCGUACGGCCAGACCAUCCUGACCCCUGCUCAACAGUCCGGUCAAUCAUACCCACCUCAUCAUCCAUUCCCAUUACAAAGACAUCUUGGCUUGGCUGUCAAUGCGUUGCCCGUGUCGGUGUCUGCAUCAGAACCACCUAGAGCUUCCUCUGCCCUGCCGUUUCCCUCACUCCCCUUUCCGUGUUGCUGCUUCUUCCAGGGAUGGGGAAAAAGGACGACCCCAAGCUCAUGCAGGAGUGGUUCAAACUGGUCCAGGAGAAAAACGCCCUGGUGCGAUACGAAUCUGAGCUGAUGAUAUUUGCACGAGAACUGGAGCUGGAGGAUCGUCAGAGUCGACUGCAGCAGGACCUGAGGGAGCGCAUGGCAAUUGAAGACCACCUGAAGACAGAGGUGGAGCUGGCGCAGGAGAAGCACAUCCUGAAUGAGAUGCUGGAGGUGGUGGAGCAGAGAGACUCCCUGGUAGCCCUCCUGGAGGAGCAGAGGCUCAGGGAGAAGGAGGAGGAUAAGGACCUGGAGUCUGUCAUGCUCUCGAAGGGUUUCAACCUCAACUGGGCCUAACACUAGACGCACCAUCCACCCCCACUCAGAUAAUACACUACCCCUCCCCUGUGUCAGGGCUCAGUGAAGACCUAAAUCACGGUUCCAUGCAUACAGAACGGAGUUGUCCUUUCACGGCCCUUCUGUUGGCGAAUGUGCGCAGAGUUGUCCUAUCAUGGCUCCGCUGUUGGAGCAGUCUAAAAUGUUUACAUAUCUACUCUGCCACCAGGCAGGCAUCAUUACCUAGUGAAAGCUCACCUCACGGUGGGAGGAGCAACUACAGCCUGGACUUUCUCAAAACCUCAGAAGGUCUUUUGACGUGAUUCUCCAGAACGGGGAACUUACCUCCUCUAGGAAGAAUGUUUUUAUUUUUCAUUUCUUUUCAUCUCGAUCAAAGGGAAGAGGUUUGGUCCUGCUGAUGUAAAGGAAUUCAAUAUAUAAUACCAGUUUCUGUGUAUUGAAUGUGCAUAACACAACACAUUAAAGAAGCUGUGGUUUUAGAUGAGGGUAGGCCCUUUAUCUAUCGAUUGUUAGAGUUUCUGUAGAAAGGGGAGGAGUGGACCGAAGCCUCUGGUCUCUCAUUCUAACCUCAUGACAUCCUCUGCCAUUGUGAAUGCUGACUGAGGGAGGGACAUCCUCUGCAUAAGCUGGCUUCCAUGUUCUGAGGAGCCAAUGAGGAUCACACUCUAAAAGGCCCGUCAUUUUUUUGCACAGAGAUUCACACUAAGAGUCAACGCUAAGGAUCAUUGGAAUCUGGUCACUUAGUCGUUUUCAAUUGUGUAUUUAUUAGCGUUGUUUUUACAAAGAACCUGAAUUAACUGUUUUUAGUAUUUUCGUUCAUGGAAGAGAGUGCCUGAACUGGUGGCUCAACAGAAUGCACUUGUGCUCUCUUUAUGACAUUGACAGCAAGGAAACUAACGGAAAACUCCAUCACCCAGAAGCCAGUGCGUGUCAGGACUGUAUGCUGCUGCAGACUCAUAUAGAAGCAUAUCAUGUGUUAAAGUGCACGUUUUUGUCAUUGCAGCUGACUUUAAAGGCGAGUCAGGACUGACUGAUCUACAAAUCACCUUGCAUCAUAACUAACUACUCAAUAUUAUUUGUAGCUCAGUCAGUCACUAUUUACCCAUGAUACAUCACAGUUUUGAUGCUCUAACCUGUAGCAUAGAUUAAUUGACACAUGCACACUUCAGCAAGCAACCCACUUGACCCAUCUCUUAGGCUCCUAGUUCUGAGUGAUAAUGUGUCCUUCUCCAUACGAUGCCUUUCCCUGUAUAUCACAUAAAAAUGUCAGUUUAUAUAAUCAGUUGCCCUUAUUCAAUACUAAUUGGCAUAUACUGUACCGUGAAAUAUCCUCAGUGGAGAUGAAAUGUUAAAAAGAGAAAGACAUAGCAGUCGAGUUAGUUUGAUCUCAGAAGAGGCAGUGUCUUAUUGGACUUACACAGUAUAUCAGUGCAUCGUGUUAUCAUCAUAAUACCAGAAGUGAACUGACACGUCACUAACUGGUGUCACAGUACAGUUGUGUCAGUGAAUAUUUUGCAAUAUCAAAGGGGAUAAACCACCACAGAACUCAAACACAGCCUCUGGCUUCGCUAUCCCUGGGGCUGAGGUAUAUGACCUGCUUUGGAGCAAAAUGCCUUUUUCAUUUGUUUUAAUAUUUUACAGUUUUCUUUUGAGUUUCAAACUUGUAUGUAUCCCACCAGGGUACAUUUAACUUUUUUGUUAAUCCUUUUUAUACAACUACAGGUCGCCAAACAGCAGUCAUGAGUAGAAGUGGAGACACGAGGCUGCUCUACUGCUCGAAGUAAACCGCUUCUAUUCAGUCACAGGAGCAUGUACAUUUGUUUGUCAUACGAACCUACUGGCCUUUCUGCCAAACUGUAAACCUUUGGUUGGUCACCGUUUUUGUUGUUGUUGCUGUAUAGAGUUACACACCGUGAGAAUAUGUGUAAGAAUUAAACGGAGCUGUGAAUAGAUAAAAAAAGUUACAACAUUUCAAGGCUUGGUGUUUUAGAUGGUGUGAUACGUUUGACAGAUUGUAUUGAUAUUUAUUAACAUGUGUGCAAAAAUGUAUCAUAUGUAAAGAAAAAUGAAUCCUAAUUUUUAAAACACAUGGCAGAUAUGUAAAUGCUUAUUCAUGUAGCGAAAAUGCAUAGAGUGUUGGAUGUAUGCUGAAACGGCAAUAAAACCAUGCAGUUAUUUUAAAAAGUA